GUUCCCCAUCUCUCUCCUCCGCCUCUGCAACAAUCAGAGACCGGCCUUUGGCCUUAUUUUCGACACCGCCACCACCAAGCGACGACGCAUAAUGCUGAUCAGAGUCCUCAAUCUCUUCCCCGACUCAGAUGCCAACAUCGUUUUCGGUGGAGAUUCGUCCCCCGUCGUUGAUGGGUAAUAGUUUAGGCCAUGUGUGAUUGUGACUGACUAAGUUGUUUCAUUGGUGAAAUUUGGGACUUUUGUGUAUUUUCAGAUCAAUCUAUGAAACUGUGUAGGUUGGAAUUAUGGGUUUGACAAUUGGAAACCUUUUAAGUUUCUUCUGGGUCCUAGUCUAGUAUAUUUGAUUUAUGUCUUGACAACCCAGGUAAUUCAUUUUCUCAUAAAUGGGUACUGUUUUCUAUCCCAAUUUCUUUCUAAUUGCUUGCUUGCCAUUGUUUUUGAGUAACUUAACCCUCAGUUUUUUUUUUUUCCUAUAUCCUUGAAAGUUAGAAUCUUUAUUCACUACAUUCUAAUAUGUAUUCAAGACUUUGUGUAAGAUGUAUGAAAUUGAUUGUUCUGAUGCAAUCAUUAAUCAAAAGGUAUAUAAUGAAUCAGCACACAUAUACAUACCCAUUGCAUAAAGAAAUAUACAUAUAUAUACGUACACCUAUGUAGUGAUAGUAUAUAUUUGCUUAUUUUACCUUAAAGUUUACAGUAAGCUAAGUAAGUUGGACUAAUUUUGUCUCAGGAUACAACUGAAACCAAACGGAAAAAUCCAAGACGGACCUUUAAAUCAGAGAAGGAGUUUAUAGAGUUCACUUUGAAGUAUCAACAAGUUAUUGCAAAGAGAGAUGGAGUUGGUUUUGCCUAUCUUGGCCUUUUUGGUGAGCAGUUUCCUAAAACAAUAGAAUUUCUUAGCCCUGUGCACAGGCAAGCGAACCAUCCUUCUCUGCUUUUCUAUCUUUUUUUUUUUUUUUUUUUGUGAAUUGGAUUUUCAUCUAGCUCAUCGCUUACUUAGUGGCUAGUGGAGUCCCUAGAAUAUUCAAGAUUGCUACUUACUUUACAAGUUUUACUAUGCAUAUAAGUAGCGCGCACAAGUCCUUAUUCAUUUUUCA